AACAUUUUCUGACUCCCGGGCCAGGGAGAAAGACAUACAGAUCUGUCCUCUUUGGUAGGCCCAAAGCAACCUACUUAGGGAACCUAAACAAAUGGAUAACGGGGAAAGAUCAGGGAAACGUAGCUUUUUUAAGAGCAUCCGAGCAAAGGAAUGAAUGUAGAACCAUGAUUGCCGAUGUCUGUCGCAGAUCUGGCACUGAGUGAAUGAAGAUGACCUGAGAACUGAGUGGCCUCACACCAAGGAGGUUAAACAGGAAGCCAUUCCUCGACCUUUGACCACAUAGAAUCGAGUACACAUGUUAUUAUUGUAUUUAUCGAUCUGUCUUGCUGUCUUACGUCAUGGUUACUGUCCUUGAGAACACUCGGGGAUAAUCGAUAAAGUGGGAGAUGAGCUUUUAAA